GGCCGUGUAGCUAAACGAGGUAGAGCAACCGCGCGCACAAAACGGAUAGGGAAGAUCCCGGUUCGAAUCCGGGCACGGCCACCA
rnacentral:tRNA from 1 species